CCUACGGGAGGCAGCAGUGAGGAAUAUUGGGCAAUGGACGCAAGUCUGAACCAGCCAUGCCGCGUGCAUGAUGACGGCCCUAUGAGUUGUAAGCUGCUUUUGUAGGAGGGUAGACGCAGAUGCUCCCAUCUGUCUGAAAGUAUCGUACGUAUAAGGCUCGGCUAACUACGUGCCGGCAGCCGCGGUAAUACGGAGGAUUCAAGCGUUGUCCGGAUUGAGUGGGUGUAUAGGGUGCGUAGGCGGUUGGGUAAGUUAGUCGGGAAACCCCGAGGCUCAAACUUGGAAUUGCCUCUGAUACUGUUGGGCUAGAGAGCAGGUGCGGUAGCCGGAAUGUAUGGUGUAGCGGUGAAAUGCUUAGAGAUCA
rnacentral:rRNA from 1 species